rnacentral:lncRNA from 1 species
AAAGAAGCUACCACUGAACCCUCCCCAGUAUGUGUGCCUACAUGCGCCUUCCCCCAGGAAGAAAUGUGAUUUCCUCUAUACAAGAGGUGCAGGUAUGCUCUCACAGUGGAACAAACUGAGUGUGAACCCGCCUUUUGCCCACAUGGUGAAGGUGGUGGUGCACACCUCUUCUCGUGCUGCCUGGAGUGGACAGCGGAGGAAGAGCCAAGGUUUGUGCCAAUGAGUUACUUGAGCAAAAGCUCUGGGGUUCAUUUUUUCUCAAAGUUUGGAGGUGUGACAUUUUGUGUUUGUGGCUCGGUUGGUUGGUUGGUUGGUUUGGUUUGUUCAUUUGUUUUUUGGGAAAAAAAAAAAAAGACUAUCUUCAUGUAGGAAAGCUAAU